UACAGAGGGUGCAAGCGUUAAUCGGAAUUACUGGGCGUAAAGCGCACGUAGGCGGGUAUUUAAGUCGAUUGUGAAAUCCCUGGGCUUAACCUAGGAACUGCAGUCGAUACUGGAUACCUAGAGUAUGGUAGAGGAAAGUGGAAUUCCCGGUGUAGCGGUGAAAUGCAUAGAUAUCGGGAGGAACACCAGUGGCGAAGGCGACUUUCUGGAUCAAUACUGACGCUGAGGUGCGAAAGCGUGGGGAGCAAACAGG
rnacentral:rRNA from 1 species